rnacentral:rRNA from 1 species
UGGUCUGAAAUGCAUGAGUGCAUCCUGCUGUUGCUGUGUUUUCAGUGUGAUAGGCAUCUUCACUGGAUCAAGUUCCCUUUUGGGACACACAUGCAUUGUGGGCUCUGUGCUGGCAAACCGUCUUUGGACAACCUUGACAAUUUGACCUCAGAUCGGGUGGGACUACCCGCUGAACUUAAGCAUAUCAAUAAGCGGAGGAAAAGAAACUAACAAGGAUUCCCCUAGUAACGGCGAGUGAAGAGGGAAAAGCUCAAAUUUUGAAUCUGGUGUCUUUGGCGCCCGAGUUGUAAUCUAGAGAAGUGUUUUCUGCCUCGGACCACACAUAAAUUCCCUGGAAUGGGGUGUCAUAGAGGGUGAGAAUCCCGUUUGUGGUGUGGACUACCUUGGCUCUGUGAUACACUCUCAACGAGUCGAGUUGUUUGGGAAUGCAGCUCAAAAUGGGUGGUAAAUUCCAUCUAAAGCUAAAUACUGGCGAGAGACCGAUAGCGAACAAGUACCGUGAGGGAAAGAUGAAAAGCACUUUGGAAAGAGAGUGAAACAGUACGUGAAAUUGUUGAAAGGGAAGCGUUUGAAGUCAGUCACAUUGGUUGGAAUUCAGCCUGGCUUCUGCCUGGUGUACUUUCUGGCAAAUGGGUCAGCAUCAAUUUCGACCGAGGGAGAAAGACUUGAGGAAUGUGGCUGUCUUCGGGCAGUGUUAUAGCCUCUUGUUGUAUGUCUCGGUUGGGAUUGAGGAUCGCAGCACGCCCUAUGGCCGGGGUUCGCGCCCUCGGUACGUGCUUAGGAUGCUGGCAUAAUGGCUUUAAGCGACCCGUCUUGAAACACGGAC